UACGUAGGGUGCAAGCGUUGUCCGGAAUUAUUGGGCGUAAAGAGCUCGUAGGCGGCUCGUUGCGUCGGCUGUGAAAACCCGCAGCUCAACUGUGGGCUUGCAGCCGAUACGGGCGGGCUGGAGUUCGGUAGGGGAGACUGGAAUUCCUGGUGUAGCGGUGAAAAUGCGCAGAUAUCAGGAGGAACACCGGUGGCGAAGGCGGAUCUCUGGGCCUUGCCUGACGCUGAGGCGCGAAAGCGUGGGGAGCAAACAGG
rnacentral:rRNA from 1 species